rnacentral:rRNA from 1 species
GACGAACGCUGGCGGCGUGCUUAACACAUGCAAGUCGAACGGAAAGGCCCUGCUUUUGUGGGGUGCUCGAGUGGCGAACGGGUGAGUAACACGUGAGUAACCUGCCCUUGACUUUGGGAUAACUUCAGGAAACUGGGGCUAAUACCGGAUAGGAGCUCCUGCUGCAUGGUGGGGGUUGGAAAGUUUCGGCGGUUGUGGAUGGACUCGCGGCUUAUCCGCUUGUUGGUGGAGUAGUGGCUUACCAAGGCUUUGACGGGUAGCCGGCCUGAGAGGGUGACCGGGCACAUUGGGACUGAGGUACGGCCCAGACUCCUACGGGAGGCAGCAGGGGGGAAUCUUGCACAAUGGGCGGAAGCGUGAUGCGGCAACGCCGCGUGCGGGAUGACGGCCUUCGGGUUGUAAACCGAUGUCGCCUGUGACGAAGCGUGAGUGACGGUAAUGGGUAAAGAAGCACCGGCUAACUACGUG